AAGUGCUGAUGCUGAGCUUAAUGAAAUCCAGAUAAUCAUAAUUGGUGAAAUGACCAUCAUCAUGUAACCCAUUUGACGUUGUUCGUCUGGCAUCGUUUUACUUGAUACAUAUGCUUGGAUAAAGUAUAAAACACCGGCAAUAAUUGUAAUCCAAAUAUCAGGACGUCCUAAAUCGAACCAUAAGAAGUGUGGAUAUUUAAACAAACCAUC
rnacentral:sRNA from 1 species